GGGGAUAACACUUAGAAAUAGGUGCUAAUACCGCAUAAGCGCACAGCUUCGCAUGAAGCAGUGUGAAAAACUCCGGUGGUAUACGAUGGAUCCGCGUCUGAUUAGCUGGUUGGCGGGGUAACAGCCCACCAAGGCGACGAUCAGUAGCCGGCCUGAGAGGGUGAACGGCCACAUUGGGACUGAGACACGGCCCAAACUCCUACGGGAGGCAGCAGUGGGGAAUAUUGCACAAUGGGGGAAACCCUGAUGCAGCGACGCCGCGUGAGUGAAGAAGUAUUUCGGUAUGUAAAGCUCUAUCAGCAGGGAAGAAAAUGACGGUACCUGACUAAGAAGCCCCGGCUAACUACGUGCCAGCAGCCGCGGUAAUACGUAGGGGGCAAGCGUUAUCCGGAUUUACUGGGUGUAAAGGGAGCGUAGACGGCAGCGCAAGUCUGAAGUGAAAUCCCAUGGCUUAACCAUGGAACUGCUUUGGAAACUGUGCAGCUGGAGUGCAGGAGAGGUAAGCGGAAUUCCUAGUGUAGCGGUGAAAUGCGUAGAUAUUAGGAGGAACACCAGUGGCGAAGGCGGCUUACUGGACUGUAACUGACGUUGAGGCUCGAAAGCGUGGGGAGCAAACAGGAUUAGAUACCCUGGUAGUCCACGCCGUAAACG
rnacentral:rRNA from 1 species